CACGCCUCUUAAGAUGUUUUGAACGUGUUUAAACUUUGAAAAAACAAUAUUUAAUAAACAACUGAUUGAAUCACAUUAUUGCUAGCCUAUUGUGAGGCUGUCCACCCCUCUCCCUUAGUGUAGAUAAUAUCGUUUGUUACAAAAAAUAAAAAAUUAUUUGACAACAAGUUUAAUGUAAUUUAAUCACAUUUUAUCCGCGUGCGAAAGACAUUUCUUAUAACCGGUAUUACACGCCUCUUAAGAUGUUUUAAACGUGUUUAAAAAUCAAGAAAAUAAUAUUUAAUAAACAACUGAUUGAAUCACAUUAUUGUUAGCCUAUUGUGAGGUUAAGCUCACCCACUUCUCCUUAGUGUAGAUAAUAUCGUUUGUAAAAUAAAAAAAAAAAAAAAAACAAUCAUCUAACAACUAAUUUAAUCACAUUAUUAUCCGCGUGUGGAAGAUUUUUUUUUUAAACCGGCACUACACGCUUCUUAAGAUGUUUUGAACAUGUUAAAAAUAGAGAAAAUAAUACUUAAUAAAUUAUUGAUUGAAUCACAUUAUUGCUAGCCUAUUAUGAGGUUAAGCUCACCCCUUCUCCUUAGUGUAGAUAAUAUCGUUUGUAAAAAAAAAUAAAAAAUAAAAAGUAAAAAAAAACAAUCAUCUGACACUAGGCCUGGCAAUUCCUAACACGAUCCGAUAACCCCA
rnacentral:lncRNA from 1 species